rnacentral:rRNA from 1 species
UAUAAUGCAGUCGACGAACUCUGGUAUUGAUUGGUGCUUGCAUCAUGAUUUACAUUUGAGUGAGUGGCGAACUGGUGAGUAACACGUGGGAAACCUGCCCAGAAGCGGGGGAUAACACCUGGAAACAGAUGCUAAUACCGCAUAACAACUUGGACCGCAUGGUCCGAGUUUGAAAGAUGGCUUCGGCUAUCACUUUUGGAUGGUCCCGCGGCGUAUUAGCUAGAUGGUGGGGUAACGGCUCACCAUGGCAAUGAUACGUAGCCGACCUGAGAGGGUAAUCGGCCACAUUGGGACUGAGACACGGCCCAAACUCCUACGGGAGGCAGCAGUAGGGAAUCUUCCACAAUGGACGAAAGUCUGAUGGAGCAACGCCGCGUGAGUGAAGAAGGGUUUCGGCUCGUAAAACUCUGUUGUUAAAGAAGAACAUAUCUGAGAGUAACUGUUCAGGUAUUGACGGUAUUUAACCAGAAAGCCACGGCUAACUACGUGCCAGCAGCCGCGGUAAUACGUAGGUGGCAAGCGUUGUCCGGAUUUAUUGGGCGUAAAGCGAGCGCAGGCGGUUUUUUAAGUCUGAUGUGAAAGCCUUCGGCUCAACCGAAGAAGUGCAUCGGAAACUGGGAAACUUGAGUGCAGAAGAGGACAGUGGAACUCCAUGUGUAGCGGUGAAAUGCGUAGAUAUAUGGAAGAACACCAGUGGCGAAGGCGGCUGUCUGGUCUGUAACUGACGCUGAGGCUCGAAAGUAUGGGUAGCAAACAGGAUUAGAUACCCUGGUAGUCCAUACCGUAAACGAUGAAUGCUAAGUGUUGGAGGGUUUCCGCCCUUCAGUGCUGCAGCUA